rnacentral:rRNA from 1 species
GUGUCAGCCGCCGCGGUAAUACAGAGGGUGCAAGCGUUAAUCGGAUUUACUGGGCGUAAAGCGCGCGUAGGUGGCUAAUUAAGUCAAAUGUGAAAUCCCCGAGCUUAACUUGGGAAUUGCAUUCGAUACUGGUUAGCUAGAGUAUGGGAGAGGAUGGUAGAAUUCCAGGUGUAGCGGUGAAAUGCGUAGAGAUCUGGAGGAAUACCGAUGGCGAAGGCAGCCAUCUGGCCUAAUACUGACACUGAGGUGCGAAAGCAUGGGGAGCAAACAGGAUUAGAAACCCCCGUAGUCC